UCUACAAAUAUUCAUUCUCUUUCCCUUGCAGGGCAUCUUCCUUUGAGGAGAACUAUGUAAAGUGAGCUCUGGGACAGGCAGAGAGAAAAUUAGAGUGACAAACUGAGUGGGUAGGGUAGGGGUAGGGAGAGAACCAGGGAUGGAGAGAGGCCUGGGAGCAGGUUCUCAUGUCCCCAGGAAUUGGUUGUGAGCUUCUUUCAUUCCCUUUAUUACUCUUUGUCUCGUGCCUCCCUAAAAUCGUGCUUGUUUGAGUGGAUAGGACUGAGUGUGGACCAAAAGGGCUGAAUUCCUCUGGUGACAGUGGGGUGGUGGUGUUCAUUCAUGGGAGAAAUGGAAAUGUUCAGGAUAGCAAAGGUAAGCUCCAGUCUCUGUAAAUCUGGAACCAGCAGUCCCAAGGGAAGAAAAAUUAGGUGGGAAUCGUUCUUUAAUCUAUUUGUGAGCAAACAUCUCCCAGACUCACUCGAGCAUAGACCUGCAUUAUGAGUUUGCCAAAGGAGGUAGUGUUGCUGGUGCUACAUUUUGGGGACUUCCUGCCUCGGACUGUGGGCCUCAGGCAGAGAAUGACAUGAAGAAGGUGCUCUGGAACAAAGCAGUUCUUCCAUGACUGGUGCUGGCAUUGCAAAGACAGAAUAAGGAAAGAGGAAAAACAGUUGAGGUAUCCUAGAGCUCUUUUUUCUUUUUCCUUCAAGAGAUGACAAUGAUACUUUGGAAAACCUCACCAGCCUUUGAAUGAUCCACAGAGUCCCUUGAAAAGGUACCAGACACACACACACGCCUACUACUGACAUUCAGAGUGCUUCAACAUCGGGAGUGCACCGAGCUACGCAAAAACGUCCUCAACAUGUUAGAGGGGGAAAUAACAUUGCCUGAACAUUUGCUAUGGGAUAGUCUUGUGAACUGAACCCCUUUUUGUAUUUGGAAGGCCGCUUGCACCGUGCCAACUUGUCAACAUCUAGAGGAUAGAGAUACUCCCAAGGGAAAUCUUGGAAGGGACAUGUCCAAGGUAAUAGAGCCACCAGCAUCCUGCGGCCCUAAAUGACAGUGUGGAGGUGGAUCCUCUCCAGGUGACCAGAAGCACUCUUUGCAU